GAUGAAGAACGCAGCGAAAUGCGAUACGUAAUGUGAAUUGCAGAAUUCAGUGAAUCAUCGAGUCUUUGAACGCACAUUGCGCCCCCUGGUAUUCCGGGGGGCAUGCCUGUCCGUGCGUCAUUGCUGCCCUCAAGCACGGCUUGUGUGUUGGGCCUCCGUCCUCCUCCCGGGGGACGGGCCCGAAAGGCAGCGGCGGCACCGCGUCCGGUCCUCGAGCGUAUGGGGCUUCGUCACCCGCUCUUGUAGGCCCGGCCGGCGCUUGCCGACACAUCAAUCUUUUUUCUAGGUUGACCUCGGAUCAGGUAGGGAUACCCGCUGAACUUAAGCAUAUCAAUAAGCGGAGGA
rnacentral:misc_RNA from 1 species